GGUGAAUGCGUGGGCGCUCCACGACCCGUACGCUGUACUCGGGGAGGAUAAGCCGUUGAAAACAGGAAAAUGCUACAAGGUUCCUGACGGGCUGGACGACGGUGGAAAGAGGAAAAGGAAAAAACCUGCUCAACUGCAGGACUUCCAGAGCUGGUUGAGAGGAACCUUUGAUCCUCCGGAGCCCAAGUUAAAAAAUGGACCCACGUUCACAGGUAACAU